rnacentral:tRNA from 1 species
GGUUGUAGCUCAGUGGUAGAGCGGUUGCCUCGCAUGCAUGAGGCCCUAGGUUUGAUCCUCAGCACCA